UACGUAGGAUGCGAGCGUUAUCCGGAUUUAUUGGGUUUAAAGGGAGCGCAGGCGGAUUUUUAAGUCAGCGGUCAAAUCGUGGGGCUCAACCCCAUCCAGCCGUUGAAACUGGGGAUCUAGAGUGUGCGAGAGGUAUGCGGAAUGCGUGGUGUAGCGGUGAAAUGCAUAGAUAUCACGCAGAACCCCGAUUGCGAAGGCAGCAUACCGGUGCACAACUGACGCUCAGGCACGAAAGCGUGGGUAUCGAACAGG
rnacentral:rRNA from 1 species